UUGUCUGUGUUGGCGCUUCUUCUCCCAGGCUCCUGCAGCCACUUCGGGACUAGGUUUCUAACGGCGCCUGCGGGGGGGCCUCGCGGAGCUGGAUGUGGAAAAGGCGAGCGCGGGGGAACUGUGCUGUAAAAACUCGCCCUGCCUCCACAGAAAGCCCCGAAGCGCCGGCGUUUGUCUGUUAGGCAGGCUGACAUUAAGCGCCUACUGUGUGCUGGGCCCUUCUUAAGACCCGGGGGGCAGAACAGCGUCUGUCCGGUAGGCGCCCAGGGCUGCUGCGAAGCCCCGGAGCGAGGAGUGUGGCCCCUCAAACAGGGAGGAGAUGAGGUCCGAGGCCGACCGAGGGAGCUGCACGCGAGGACCCGGUGGUCCCUGACCUGCCCUCUCCAGCGGGGACCUGCACUUUCUGUCACCAAAGAAGAUUCUCUGUAGGGAGGCCAGGAUGAUUCUCCAGAAUUUACUGUGCCUUGAGAUGAAAUUUCCUUUCAAACUUCCUUGUGUCCUUUUGUCCUCAUUCCAUGUUCACCAAUCUUCUGAUUGUUUCAUUUUCCAGAAAGGAGAAUCUGAAUAACAUGUAUAUUUUAACCUUGCCUGCAAUUGUAAAUCAAUAAAUUGGUGUAUUUACAUCAGA